GCCAGACUCCUACGGGAGGCAGCAGUGGGGGAUAUUGCACAAUGGGGGGAACCCUGAUGCAGCGACGCCGCGUGGGUGAAGGAGUGCUUCGGCAUGUAAAGCCCUCUCGGCAGGGAAGAAGCAAGACGGUACCUGACUAAGAAGCCCCGGCUAACUACGUGCCAGCAGCCGCGGUAAUACGUAGGGGGCGAGCGUUGUCCGGAAUUACUGGGUGUAAAGGGAGCGUAGGCGGGACUGCAAGUUGGGUGUCAAAUCUGCCGGCUCAACCGGUAGCCGCACUCAAAACUGCAGUUCUUGAGUGAAGUAGAGGCAGGCGGAAUUCCUAGUGUAGCGGUGAAAUGCGUAGAUAUUAGGAGGAACACCAGUGGCGAAGGCGGCCUGCUGGGCUUUUACCGACGCUGAGGCUCGAAGGUGUGGGGAGCAAACAGGAUUAGAUACCCCUGUA
rnacentral:rRNA from 1 species